UGAAUGUUGUGUUAAAGUAUGCGUUAAAAGCAUGCUGUUGUUUAAAGGUAUGCUGUUUUAAAGGAUGCUGUUAAAAUGUAUGCUGUUAAAAUGUAUGCUGUUUAAAUGUAUGCUGUUAAAGGUAUGCUGUUUAAAGUAUGCUGUUUAAUAUGUAUGCUGUUUAAGUGUAUGCUGUUUAAAGGUAUGCUGUUUAAAUAGUUGCUGUUAAAUGUUGCUGUUUAAAAGGUAUCUUAAUAUGCUUUUAAAAAUGUAUGCUGUUUAAAUGUAUGCUGUUUAAAGGUAUGCUGUUAAAAUGUAUGCUGUUUAAAUGUAUGCUGUUUAAAUGCAAUGCCAAACAUUGGGAUGCUGAACACAAGCAG
rnacentral:lncRNA from 1 species